UACGUAGGGUGCGAGCGUUGUCCGGAAUUACUGGGCGUAAAGAGCUCGUAGGUGGUUUGUCGCGUUGUUCGUGAAAACUCACAGCUUAACUGUGGGCGUGCGGGCGAUACGGGCAGACUGGAGUGUGGUAGGGGAGACUGGAAUUCCUGGUGUAGCGGUGGAAUGCGCAGAUAUCAGGAGGAACACCGAUGGCGAAGGCAGAUCUCUGGGCCGUAACUGACGCUGAGGAGCGAAAGCAUGGGGAGCGAACAGG
rnacentral:rRNA from 1 species